GAUGAACGCUAGCGGCAGGCCUAAUACAUGCAAGUCGAACGGUCCACUUCGGUGGAUAGUGGCGCACGGGUGCGUAACACGUAUGCAACCUACCUUACAUUGGGGGAUAGCCUUUCGAAAGGGAGAUUAAUACCGCAUAAGACAGUAACAUGGCAUCAUGUAGCUGUUAAAGAUUUAUCGAUGUAAGCUGGGCAUGCGUCCAAUUAGUUAGUUGGUGAGGUAAUGGCUCACCAAGACGAUGAUUGGUAGGGGAACUGAGAGGUCAAUCACCCACGCUGGCACUGAGAUACGGGCCAGACUCGUUCGGUAGACAGCAGUAUGGAAUAUUGGGCAAUGGACGCAAGUCUGACCCAGCCAGUCCUCGUGCAGGGAGAAGGCGUUGUGGGUUGUAAACUGUUUUUAUAUAGGAAGAAACGACCCUUGCGAGUGGCAUUGACUGUUUUAUAUGAAUAAGCACCUGCUAACUCCGUGCCAGCCUCCGCAGUAAAAC
rnacentral:rRNA from 1 species